GAAAUGCGAUAAGUAAUGUGAAUUGCAGAAUUCAGUGAAUCAUCGAAUCUUUGAACGCACAUUGCGCCCGCCAGUAUUCUGGCGGGCAUGCCUGUUCGAGCGUCAUUACAACCCUCAGGCCCCCGGGCCUGGCGUUGGGGAUCGGCGGAAGCCCCCUGCGGGCACAACGCCGUCCCCCAAAUACAGUGGCGGUCCCGCCGCAGCUUCCAUCGCGUAGUAGCUAACACCUCGCAACUGGAGAGCGGCGCGGCCACGCCGUAAAACACCCAACUUCUGAAUGUUGACCUCGAAUCAGGUAGGGAUACCCGCUGAACUUAAGC
rnacentral:misc_RNA from 1 species